rnacentral:lncRNA from 1 species
CAUGGAAUUGAGGUAUAAUUACUUUAUGAUUCAAUUGUUAAUAGUCAUAAAGAAUGAGACGAAGGAAGAUUCAUAAACUUUCACAAACAUAGAUACUUUGCCUCACAUACCUUUACUUUGGCCUUUUUAAGCGUAUCACAAUGUUUGUUACCUCUUUCACCAAUACACUAUGACAAUAUAUAUCAAGAGGAACCAAUAUUAGCAAUAAUGCUCAUGUUUUAGUCAUUUAAAUAUAUUAUCAAACACUUGGUGGGCAUAAAGCAUCAUAGCCUUUAUUAAUGGUGUUUCUACACCCAACAACCCAUCCUCACUCCUAGAUAAUUCUAAAAUCUCAAAUUGUUAUAAUCAAUAUCAUUCUUAAUCACCCAUGAGAUAAAUAACACCCUUAAUCAAUAAUAUAAUGUAUGAAAGAAGACAAACACUAGGUGUAGCUUCUUCCUAAUAGGUUAGUUGGACUUUUUCUUCCUAUGUUGUACAGUAUUUAUUUUGUUAAGCAUGUUCUCACUAUAGUUUCUGUCUUACUUCUAUUCAUUUGAUUUUGUUUGCCUUAUAAAAAAAAUAAUUUGAUUUUGCUUACUGUUAGAAGGGAAGCGUUGGAGCAAUGCUAAGUUGUCUGAACUAUAGGCCAUGACCGUGAAAUCAGCUACUAAUGCUUGAUUUUCAGGGUAGGCUGCGUGAAUGCGGGAUGCUUUAUGCACGGCGCUGCGAUUUUUUCUUGUUCGUCAUAGCUUGUUAUAGAUUUACCUUCUUUGUUCCAGUUACUUGUAAUAUCAUAGCUUACUAGAUUUCAGUUUGAUGGUUUCUUUUAUGAAAAUUUUCUUUUCUUCCACAGGGAUGGAUUUUAUCAUCAAGGUGUGGUGGGUUCAUGAAAUCUUAUUUCAGUAAAUCGGAGAAGUUGACUAGCGCCUUUCUAAAGCAGAAUCAAUGGUACGAAAUGCCUACUCAUCAUCAGAACUAAGAGACACUUAAUCUAAGAUAUGAGAACGAUAUAUUUUCGCCCUCAUGUUUGUAUGAGAAAGCUAUUAUUUAUACCCCCUUAUUUAGACGCACACUACCUUAGUUGGCUUUAGAUGACAGACCUGUAAGACUGUGCCUACCGUUCCUUUCUGUUCAUGAACCCCUCAUAGAUGAUAUAUCUAGUAUCAUAGGUAGAGUGAUAUCUCCAGUUUGCCCAUCCUGGCAUUGUGUUUGUUAUGGGACUUGAGCUUAUCUGUGCACCACAACUGGGACCCUUGUCUUCAUGCAAUCAGGCUAUUCUUUGCUACUAAAGUGGCACCUUGUCUCUUGGUCUAUCUCGUCCUCCCUCUCCUAACCUGUCCGUAGUUGCAUAUUUGGACGCUUACUGGCAUAUCAACCCGAUACCUGUUGCUCUACUAUGGUUAUGCUGUUUUUCUUGGUUCUGACAUUGUCGCCUUGAGUGCAAGAAACAACCUGCUGGUACUAAACCCAGUGCAUAUUGACAACUCCAAUCCAUCAAUUACAUUGACAAAGCAUAUUCAGAUAAGAGAUAUAGAUUAGUAUUAAGUCA